rnacentral:rRNA from 1 species
GACGAACGCUGGCGGCGUGCUCAACACAUGCAAGUCGAACGGUGAAGGGGUCUGCUUUUGUGGGCCCUGGAUGAGUGGCGAACGGGUGAGUAACACGUGAGUAACCUGCCCCCUUCUUCUGGAUAACCGCAUGAAAGUGUGGCUAAUACGGGAUAUUCUGGGUCUGUCGCAUGAUGGGUCUGGGAAAGAUUGCGCCUUUGGGUGUUUUUGGUGGGGGAUGGGCUCGCGGCCUAUCAGCUUGUUGGUGGGGUGAUGGCCUACCAAGGCGGUGACGGGUAGCCGGCCUGAGAGGGUGGACGGUCACACUGGGACUGAGACACGGCCCAGACUCCUACGGGAGGCAGCAGUGGGGAAUAUUGCACAAUGGGCGCAAGCCUGAUGCAGCGACGCCGCGUGAGGGAUGGAGGCCUUCGGGUUGUAAACCUCUUUCGCCAGUGAAGCAGGCCUGCUCCUUGUGGGUGGGUUGACGGUAGCUGGAUAAGAAGCGCCGGCUAACUACGCG